GGAACUGGGGGAAACACGGCGAGGGGUCAGAUCACAGGGGGUCAGGACUGAGCUGGAGGUUGAGCACUUAGACUUGGUAAACUGAGAUAGGGGAUCAGGGACUCGGAUUAAGAUUAACGCGAAGGAUUUUUAACCAAGGUCGUUACACCCUACCCCCCUUAAGAAGAAUCUCGUCCCGAGAUUCGGAUGUAGAAGCAACCAGUGGGGGUGUGUAGCCCUUACCUCCUUGGCUGGAAAGAAAACCUGGGAAGUGCUUGUU
rnacentral:lncRNA from 1 species